GUGCCGUAAACUAUGAGUAAGGAAAAUAAUAAGCCUUGGUAACGCUUGGCUUUACAAGGCUAGUUUUCUUGUAAAACAAUUUUUGAGGGGAAGAAGGUCCUCCAUAGGUGGUCAACCUACUUCGUUGGCUGCCUGAAGUGUGGGAUCUGUCCC